rnacentral:rRNA from 1 species
CAUGUAUGCUCUUGGUACGCCGCAACUCGCAAUGAGUUAUAGCGACGUCCCGGGAAUGCGAGGCAAAAUAUAUCUCUGCCCAUCUUCCCUUAUAUAUAAGUAAAAUAUAUAUAUAUAUUUACUUUCAUUACGCCUUUGGGUUUAAUGUAUAUAAAAAUUAAUUUUAUAUCCCAUUGACUCGCAUACAUGCUAGACUCCUUGGUCCGUGUUUCAAGACGGGUCCUAUAAUGGCCCAAAUUCUUAUAUGCCGUUAACUGAUGACAAGAGUAACCGUACAAGAACACUAUAAACUAACAAUAUUAUAUGUAUAGAAACGGCCCAUAAUGGAAUCCGUUUUCCAUAAUAUCAUCAUAUAAAUAUUUGUUAUAGGUUCGAACGCACCCUUACCACUGUAAAAAGUUAAAAACUUUAAACAACAGAAGCAGCGACUCAUCAUCGAUAUUCUUCCAUUGCAUAGAUGUCAGGACAUCACAAGUCCGGGUUAUAAAUAAUAUAUAAAUAUAAUACAAAUACCACGGUCUGUCAUUGUGAACCUAUUGACACCCUUAAUAUCAUAAUUGAAUAGCAAUGGGUUACGACAUAUCUACUAUGGGAGAAGUGCACACCUCCAUUUAUAUACACCAUUGAUAUCAAGUAGCGGAGCAUCAUAUAAUACAGAAUGAAUUCUUUAAUAAAAAAAAAUCCAUCCGACAUAAAAUGUCUCAAUAAAUUAAUAUAUCACUACUAAAUGGUCAUAAACGGUAUGGUAAUUGAAUCUCCCAAUUCGAUACUUUGGGCAUUAUAGGUUUACCCUUGAACAGUUUCACGUACUCUUGAACUCUCUCUUCAAAGUUCUUUUCAACUUUCCCUCACGGUACUUGUUUGCUAUCGGUUUCGCAGUAAUAUUUAGCCUUAGAUGGAGUUUACCACCCACUUAGAGCUGCACUCUCAAGCAACCCGACUCUAAAGAGAAACCCACCUACGUAUAUAAACGGUCACUACGGGCCUGGCACCCUCUAUGGGUAAAUGGCCCCCUUCAAGAAGGACUUGGACUCGCUUAUAAAUUAACAUAGGUUAAACGGGCUCUCCUAAACACUACAUUGCCCGACAAUUGUUUCCAAUCGUGGGCUUCAGUGCUGGGCUCCUCCCUGUUCGCUC